AUACGUAGGGGGCGAGCGUUGUCCGGAAUGAUUGGGCGUAAAGGGCGCGUAGGCGGCCCGGUAAGUCUGGAGUGAAAGUCCUGUUUUUAAGAUGGGAAUUGCUUUGGAUACUGUCGGGCUUGAGUGCAGGAGAGGUAAGUGGAAUUCCCAGUGUAGCGGUGAAAUGCGUAGAGAUUGGGAGGAACACCAGUGGCGAAGGCGACUUACUGGACUGUAACUGACGCUGAGGCGCGAAAGUGUGGGGAGCAAACAGGAUUAGAUACCCUGGUCGUCCACACUGUAAACGAUGAAUGCUAGGUGUAGGGGGUAUCGACCCCUUCUGUGCCGCAGUCAACACAAUAAGCAUUCCGCCUGGGGAGUACGGCCGCAAGGGUGAAACUCAAAGGAAUUGACGGG
rnacentral:rRNA from 1 species